GUUUUGAUCAUGGCUCAGAUUGAACGCUGGCGGCAGGCUUAACACAUGCAAGUCGAGCGGGGGAAGUUGCUUCGGUAACUGACCUAGCGGCGGACGGGUGAGUAAUACUUAGGAAUCUGCCUAUUAAUGGGGGACAACAUCUCGAAAGGGAUGCUAAUACCGCAUACGCCCUACGGGGGAAAGCAGGGGAUCACUUGUGACCUUGCGUUAAUAGAUGAGCCUAAGUCGGAUUAGCUAGUUGGUGGGGUAAAGGCCUACCAAGGCGACGAUCUGUAGCGGGUCUGAGAGGAUGAUCCGCCACACUGGGACUGAGACACGGCCCAGACUCCUACGGGAGGCAGCAGUGGGGAAUAUUGGACAAUGGGGGGAACCCUGAUCCAGCCAUGCCGCGUGUGUGAAGAAGGCCUUAUGGUUGUAAAGCACUUUAAGCGAGGAGGAGGCUCUCUUGGUUAAUACCCAAGAUGAGUGGACGUUACUCGCAGAAUAAGCACCGGCUAACUCUGUGCCAGCAGCCGCGGUAAUACAGAGGGUGCGAGCGUUAAUCGGAUUUACUGGGCGUAAAGCGUGCGUAGGCGGCUUUUUAAGUCGGAUGUGAAAUCCCCGAGCUUAACUUGGGAAUUGCAUUCGAUACUGGGAAGCUAGAGUAUGGGAGAGGAUGGUAGAAUUCCAGGUGU
rnacentral:rRNA from 1 species